rnacentral:rRNA from 1 species
CCUACGGGUGGCUGCAGUGGGGAAUAUUGGUCAAUGGGCGCAAGCCUGACCCAGCAACGCCGCGUGAAGGAAGAAGGCUUUCGGGUUGUAAACUUCUUUUCUGAGGGACGAAGAAAGUGACGGUACCUCAGGAAUAAGCCACGGCUAACUACGGGCCAGCAGCCGCGGUAAUCCGUAGGUGGCAAGCGUUAUUCGGAUUUAUUGGGUGUAAAGGGCGUGUAGGCGGGAAAGCAAGUCAGAUGUGAAAACUCAGGGCUCAACCCUGAGCCUGCAUUUGAAACUGUUUUUCUUGAGUGCUGGAGAGGCAAUCGGAAUUCGGUGUGUAGCGGUGAAAUGCGUAGAUAUACGGAGGAACACCAGUGGCGAAGGCGGAUUGCUGGACAGUAACUGACGCUGAGGCGCGAAAGCGUGGGGAGCAAACAGGAUUAGAUACCCUUGUAGUC